rnacentral:rRNA from 1 species
GUCCUUUUGAAUUUAAUUUAAGGUUUGACCUGCCCACUGAUUUAUAUUUGAAGGGCCGCAGUAAUUUGACUGUGCAAAGGUAGCAUAAUCAUUAGUUUUUUAAUUAAAAGCUUGUAUGAAGGGUUGGACGAGGUAAAUUCUGUCUCUAUUUAAUUUAUUAUAGAAUUUAAUUUUUAAGUUAAAAAGCUUAAAUUUGAUUAAAAGACGAGAAGACCCUAUAGAUCUUUAUAUUAUUUUUAUUAAUCUUAAUUAAGAUUAUUUAAUUUUUUAAUAAAUUUAAUAUUUUAUUGGGGUAAUAAAAAGAUUAGAUUAAUUCUUUUUUUAAAAUUUACAUUAAUAAAUGAGUUUAUGAUCCAAUAUUAUUGAUUAAAAGAUUAAGUUACCUUAGGGAUAACAGCGUAAUAUUUUUAGAGAGUUCAUAUCGAUAAAAAAGUUUGCGACCUCGAUGUUGGAUUAAAAAUUAUUUUAGGUGUAGAAGCUUAAAAUUUUGGUCUGUUCGACCAUUAAAUUUUU